rnacentral:rRNA from 1 species
CCGUAACUGACGCUGAGGAGCGAAAGCGUGGGGAGCGAACAGGAUUAGAUACCCUGGUAGUCCACGCCGUAAACGUUGGGCGCUAGAUGUGGGGACCAUUCCACGGUUUCCGUGUCGCAGCUAACGCAUUAAGCGCCCCSCCUGGGGAGUACGGCCGCAAGGCUAAAACUCAAAGGAAUUGACGGGGGSCCGCACAAGCGGCGGAGCAUGCGGAUUAAUUYGAUGCAACGCGAAGAACCUUACCAAGGCUUGACAUACACGAGAACGGGCCAGAAAUGGUCAACUCUUUGGACACUCGUGAACAGGUGGUGCAUGGUUGUCGUCAGCUCGUGUCGUGAGAUGUUGGGUUAAGUCCCGCAACGAGCGCAACCCUCGUUCUAUGUUGCCAGCGCGUAAUGGCGGGAACUCAUAGGAGACUGCCGGGGUCAACUCGGAGGAAGGUGGGGAUGACGUCAAAUCAUCAUGCCCCUUAUGUCUUGGGCUUCACGCAUGCUACAAUGGCCGGUACAAAGGGCUGCAAUACCGUAAGGUGGAGCGAAUCCCAAAAAGCCGGUCUCAGUUCGGAUUGAGGUCUGCAACUCGACCUCAUGAAGUCGGAGUCGCUAGUAAUCGCAGAUCAGCAACGCUGCGGUGAAUACGUUCCCGGGCCUUGUACACAC